rnacentral:rRNA from 1 species
GAAUUCGCCCUUAGAGUUUGAUCCUGGCUCAGGAUGAACGCUGGCGGCGUGCUUAACACAUGCAAGUCGAACGGGGGUCAUUUUGCGGAAGUCUUCGGACGGAAGUGAUUUGACUCGAGUGGCGGACGGGUGAGUAACACGUGAGCAACCUGCCUUUUGCUGGGGAAUAACUGUGGGAAACCAUGGCUAAUACCGCAUGUUGUGCCAACUGGGCAUCCGGUUGGCAUGAAAGGAGAAAUCCGGCAGAAGAUGGGCUCGCGUCCGAUUAGGUAGUUGGUGGGGUAAUGGCUCACCAAGCCAACGAUCGGUAGCCGAACUGAGAGGUCGAACGGCCACAUUGGGACUGAGACACGGCCCACACUCCUACGGGAGGCAGCAGUGGGGAAUAUUGGGCAAUGGGGGAAACCCUGACCCAGCGACGCCGCGUGAAGGACGAAGGCUUUCGGGUUGUAAACUUCUUUGGGGAGGGACGAAAUUGACGGUACCUCCAGAACAAGCCACGGCUAACUACGUGCCAGCAGCCGCGGUAAUACGUAGGUGGCAAGCGUUAUCCGGAUUUACUGGGUGUAAAGGGCGUGUAGGCGGGUUUUCAAGUCGGAUGUGAAAAGGCAAGGCUCAACUUUGCUCUGUCAUCCGAAACUGGAGAUCUUGAGUGUCAGAGGGGAAAAGCGGAAUUCCUGGUGGAGCGGUAAAAUGCGUAGAAAUCAGGAAGGACCCCCGGCGGCGAAGGCCGCUUUUCUGGCUAAACACUGAACGCUGAGGCGCGAAAAGGGGGGGGAAGCAAACAGGAAUAAAAAACC